rnacentral:rRNA from 1 species
CGCCCUUGGAAUUAAUAUCAAAGGGUCCUGCCUGCCCGGUGAUCUUAAAAGAUUAAACGGCUGCGGUACUCUGACCGUGCAAAGGUAGCAUAAUCAUUUGCCUGUUAAUUCCAGGCUGGAAUCAACGGCUAGACGAAGAAAAUACUGUCUUUCUUAAUAAAAUUUUGAAUUUAGUAUUCUGGUGAAGAAACCAGAAUUUUAUAGUGGGACGAGAAGACCCUAUUGAGCUUUAAUAUUUAAUUAUUAAAAUAAAUAAUUAGUAUAUUUUAGUUGGGGCAACUAACUUUUUAGUAAGACAAAGUUAAAAAUAAUAAAUUAAAUUUUAUAAUGACCCAAAAUAAUUUUGGUAAAAAGAAAAAGUUACCAUAGGGAUAACAGCGUAAUUUUCUUUGAGAGUACAUAUUGACAAGAAAGUUUGCGACCUCGAUGUUGGAUCAAGAUAUCCUAAAGGUGCAGCAGCUUCUAAGGGUGGGUUUGUUCAACCUUUAAAAUCUUACGC